rnacentral:lncRNA from 1 species
GCUUCAUCUAUUGUUUUAAAUUUUAGAUGUGAAAUAAAAGCUAGAUAAUUACAAAUAUCUCUAAGAGAGGAUCUAGUUCUUACUCCUUAUGUCGGAUCAUCAAUUAUUAAUUCUUUGAGGUGAUUGUAGACAUACCUUCAUUUUUUUGAAAGAUUACCUAUAUCUUGAGGUUGUUCUUAAAUAUUUUGAUCAUUGAUAUUUUCAUCCUCAUAUUUUUCAUCCAAUUGAUCUUUACUUCACUCAUCUGAGUCAUUGAUGGUGAGCUUUUCCAUUCCAUCUUCUAUGAUACUUGCAUCAUCAGC